GUUACUAUUUUAUUGAGGUUGUUGCCCAGAAACAAAUUAUGCAUCAAUAAAUGUACGUAAGUCAUUAGCGUUGGCCUUUAAUCACCAGUUCAAGUCUCAAGUUGAAGUGCUGUAAUAUAUCCGGUAACGAUACACACAGAUCUGAGAAGGAAACACCAUUCAAAAGGUGGACUCACAUCUCUUUUCCUUCCCGAUAGGAGCAGACAGCGAGAGACACGGAGGGAGGUCUAAAAAAAAAAGAAGCUGCGAGGAAACAGGUGAACGGCAUAACGAGGAUCCUUGCCCGGGUGCGUUAAUCUGAGCAUUCCGCUCUCCCUGUGGUCGUCUACCUUCUUCGCCAGCCGGAGUCGGUCCUGAUG
ensembl:lncRNA